rnacentral:rRNA from 1 species
GAUGAACGCUGGCGGCGUGCCUAAUACAUGCAAGUCGAGCGAACAGAUGAGGAGCUUGCUCCUCUGACGUUAGCGGCGGACGGGUGAGUAACACGUGGAUAACCUACCUAUAAGACUGGGAUAACUUCGGGAAACCGGAGCUAAUACCGGAUAAUAUAUUGAACCGCAUGGUUCAAUAGUGAAAGACGGUUUUGCUGUCACUUAUAGAUGGAUCCGCGCCGCAUUAGCUAGUUGGUAAGGUAACGGCUUACCAAGGCAACGAUGCGUAGCCGACCUGAGAGGGUGGUCGGCCACACGGGAACUGGGACACGGUCCAGACUCCUACGGGAGGCAGCAGUAGGGAAUCUGCCGCAAUGGGCGAAAGCCUGACGGAGCAACGCCGCGUGAGUGAUGAAGGUCUUCGGAUCGUAAAACUCUGUUAUUAGGGAAGAACAAAUGUGUAAGUAACUAUGCACGUCUUGACGGUACCUAAUCAGAAAGCCACGGCUAACUACGUG